CUAAAAGCAAACCAAUCCCAGUCAAAGUGACUUGUUUUAAAGAAUCCCCACAUCCCCCAGUUCCCCCAGCAGCGUCUGGUAAACUGAUUGUGCUCUCUUCUUAUGCUAAUAACACUAAUGCAUCCACAUUAUCACCUGGCUCUUCACAGCAAAAAGUACCAACAGUAUCCGGGCUAACUGAGUCUCAUCCAAUCACGCUCCAGAUAUCUGGGUGGGGUUAUAUAUAUACUGUUUUCCUGACAGAAUCUACAUUAACUUUUUUAAUUUUUUUGUGAAAUAAAAUUCCAAAACCUUAAAGGACAAACUGCUUUUUGAGAUUCCUACAUUGCCUACAAGGGACCACAUACAACAAAGCCAACUAAGGCCAUUUCUCAUCUCUUUUUUCCAUUCAACACUGAAAAGGAAAAUGAGACCCAGAAGAGUCUGUCCUGAAAAGGAAGCUUUGAAAUUCAUCGCAUCUGGGAAAGAUAAAGACAUAUUUCAGUCAAGAGAAAGAUUGUUGAUGAACAGAAAAGAGCAGAUUUGUGUGCAUCUGUGACCACAAACAUCACUACAGGAGAAGAAAUGAUGUUCGACUGCGGAGAUCCUGACAGCUCAUGGAGACAGGUAGCAGGAUGCUUGGUCCAUUACAUCUGACGGAUGGACAACACCCUCAUCAGACCACUACACCCUACACCCAGGAUCCACUUGGUCUGUCUCUACAUGUCAGAACGAGUAACUUCAGUCUUCAAUGGGAUGAAAGACAAAAAAUAUCUUAAGCAGAAUGCUGAGCAAAUCAGUGGAAGAGCAUCCUACUAUUGAGGAAUGCCUUCAGGAAGUCAAAACUAUGUGCAAAGACUUAUUGUAGAGUUUACAAUAAGCAUUAAAAUGAUUAGACAAACAGGAUUCUAAAGGGUAAUGGAAGAGACUUGAAAACAGUUAAAUACUUUGUGCUCAACAGAAUAAUUUCAGUUAAGAGAAGUUUGGGUCAACAGUACUGAGCCCAUAAACCCUGAGAGCUAUUUUUAGAGAGAUUAUGAGAAUAAAGUUUGACUUGAUUUCAUUAAAAA